AUUAACGCUAGCGGCAGGCAUAAUACAUGCAAGUUGAACGGCAGCACAGGUAGCAAUACUGGGUGGCGAGUGGCGCACGGGUGCGUAACACGUAUGCAACCUACCCUAUACAGGCGAAUAACCUUUAGAAAUGAGGGCUAAUACGCCGUAGUAUUACAGAUGGGCAUCUAUUUGUAAUUAAAGAGGUUUAUCGGUAUAGGAUGGGCAUGCGUCCCAUUAGUUAGUUGGUAAGGUAACGGCUUACCAAGACGAUGAUGGG
rnacentral:rRNA from 1 species